GACGAACGCUGGCGGCGUGCUUAACACAUGCAAGUCGAACGGAAAGGCCCUGCUUUUGUGGGGUGCUCGAGUGGCGAACGGGUGAGUAACACGUGAGUAACCUGCCCUUGACUUUGGGAUAACUUCAGGAAACUGGGGCUAAUACCGGAUAGGAGCUCCUGCUCCAUGGUGGGGGUUGGAAAGUUUCGGCGGUUGGGGAUGGACUCGCGGCUUAUCAGCUUGUUGGUGGGGUAGUGGCUUACCAAGGCUUUGACGGGUAGCCGGCCUGAGAGGGUGACCGGCCACCUUGGGACUGAGGUACGGCCCAGACUCCUACGGGGGGCAGCAGUGGGGAGUAUUGCACAGUGAGCGGAAGCCGGAUGCAGCAGCGCCGCGUGCGGGAUGACGGCCUUCGGGUUGUAAACCGCUUUCGCCUGUGACGAAGCGUGAGUGACGGUAAUGGGUAAAGAAGCACCGGCUAACUACGUG
rnacentral:rRNA from 1 species